UCUUUCUCAUUGUUGGCUGCUUGUGAUUUAAAUAAUCCAUGCAAUGUACUUUUACAUAGUUUUUUAGGCUGGCACGUGGGCUGUAAAUUAUGAGUGAUCAUAAUAAAAACGAUAUCACCACAGCACAGCGUGGCUACAAACGCUACCUGGCUGACCAAAUGGAUGUUCCAGGAAGAACACUUAGACGAUGGAAAAGGAUAAGGCAAGUAGCUUCACUAGUGUUUAAUUUAUUAAAGCUGUUCAGUCAUAAUACGAUAGUAUAUAUUCUAAACCUUUAUUUUUAUUUUAUAGGAACAAGGAACAAUCAAGUCAAGCAGAAACAACGGGUUCUUUAACACAUGACGAGAUUCGUACUGUAAGCAACAUUGAAGAUGAUGACAGUCUAGAAACUGAUGAAGACGUUGAUGUACCAGAAUCCAGUAAUCUAGUAGAAGAAGGGGAACCUGAAAUAACCCCAAGUGAACAGGAUAAUGCAGAUCUUGAGUCAAUUACCACGGAACAGGACAUUGAGAAUCCUGGCAGUGAACCUUUUCAUUCUCUUGAUGAAUCUACACAAAAAAAGUACCUGCAAGAGGAUGACAAAGUGUAUUCGUCUCAACAACAGAAUGGCCUGCUGCUCAUGGCAUUGAAAAUGAAGCACAAGCUUACCAAGGAAGCAGUCUCUGACAUGCUGGACAUUAUUAAUCUAUUGGCUGGUAAAGACACUGUACCACAAUCUUGGUACCACUUAGAAAAACAGUUUGAAGGUUUAAAAGAUUUUGUAGAAAUACAUCAUGUUUGCAAUUUCUGUGAAUCUUACUUAGGUAAAGAAACCUCUGAGAAAUGCACUUACUGUGAGAAAGAGUGGAUAGAGCAAAGGAGUCUGAAAGAAGGAAACUUUUUCUUUCAUUUGCCUUUACAUGCACAGAUCAAAGCAUUUUUAGAGGACCCUGAAUUGUCACAAAAGGUAGUAAGAAAUAGACAUGGCUUCCAGUCACAGACAUU